rnacentral:rRNA from 1 species
UACAGAGGGUGCAAGCGUUGUUCGGAAUUAUUGGGCGUAAAGCGCGUGUAGGCGGCUUUGCAAGUCGGGUGUGAAAGCCCUCAGCUCAACUGAGGAAGUGCGCCCGAAACUGCAGAGCUUGAGUGCCGGAGAGGGUGGCGGAAUUCCCCAAGUAGAGGUGAAAUUCGUAAGAUAUGGGGAGGAACACCGGUGGGCGAAGGCGGCCACC